UAAAAUCUAUCCGUCGAAAAA
rnacentral:piRNA from 1 species